rnacentral:rRNA from 1 species
CCUACGGGAGGCAGCAGUGGGGAAUAUUGCACAAUGGGGGGAACCCUGAUGCAGCAACGCCGCGUGAAGGAAGACGGUUUUCGGAUUGUAAACUUCUAUCAAUAGGGAAGAAAGAAAUGACGGUACCUAAAUAAGAAGCCCCGGCUAACUAGGUGCCAGCAGCCGCGGUAAUACGGAGGAUGCGAGCGUUAUCCGGAUUUAUUGGGUUAAAAGGGUGCGCAGGCGGUCUGUUAAGUCAGCGGGCAAAGCCCGGGGCUCAACCCCGGCCCGCCGUUGAAACUGGCAGUCUCGAGUUGGAGAGAAGUAUGCGGAAUGCGCGGUGUAGCGGUGAAAUGCAUAGAUAUCGCGCAGAACUCCGAUUGCGAAGGCAGCAUGCCGGCUCCACACUGACGCUGAGGCACGAAAGCGUGGGUAUCGAACAGGAUUAGAUACCCCAGUAGUC